GUGCUUGCUUUGGCAGCACGUAUACUAAAAUUGGAAAAAUACAGAGAAGAUUAGCAUGGCCCCUAUGCAAGGAUGACACAUAAAUUCGUGAAGCAUUCCAUUUAUUU
ensembl:snRNA U6 U6 spliceosomal RNA